GUGAGGUCAUCAAGAACCCAGGCCACCCGUGGUCAGCCAUGCUGGGACUGUUCCUGCAGCCACACAGCUCCAUCUGCAGGAGGGUGGCCCUGUCCGUGCUCUUGCUUAUCCAGCAUUCACCACACCCUGAUACCCAUCAGGACUGUCCGCCUUCUCUUCUGAGCGAGCCUCUGCUGGCCUGCUCCUGGGCAUCGGACGAACGCAGCAGUAAAACACUCCUACCCAUGGGUGCGCCUCAGACAAGCAGAGCCAGAAGAACACGUCUUGGCUGGUGCCCUGUGAUGGAUGUAACCACAGUGGGUUGAGUCUGCGGUGACCGUGGCCUGGGAAUGGCCUCUGAUACGCUCGUGUUUCCCAGGACGAGAGAUCCUGAAUAAAUAUUUCUGCGAGACCUUGGGGAAAGAGGUGCACGUGACUCCCCAGCUCUGAGGAUGCCUCCUACAGAAGAAGCUGCUGUUCAGCCGGAGGCCCUGGGAAGGGCAAAACCCCUCCAAGUACUGCUUGAGUAUCCAGGGAUUGCCCACCGUGGAGGGAGAACACUGUUCCUCCCACCUGCUGCGUAGCUCCAGUGCAGACUGUGUGGGAACCAGAGCCCGGAUGUUGUCCACGAUCGUGAGAGAAUGAUCUCCCUAUCUGGGAUGGAGAGGAGAGUUAUCAACAGAUGUGUCAGGAGAUAACCAACUGUCGCCCUGGGAGACGUCCCAGGAGGUCUGAGGGAAGUCCAGGGAUGACCGGAGAUUUCCUGUUUGGGUGCCCAGGAGAGACUUUGCGUCCCCUCGGCCGUCUGAUUCUGCUUCCUGGUGUUGAAAGUCCCACAAGAGGCAGGCUCUGGUUUUGGCUUUCUCUGUCUUUCUGAGUGUUCUGUUUGUCUUCUUUUGUGUGACUUGGACAAUGGGACAGACUGUCAGUACCCCUCUUGGUCAAACUCUCGACCACUGGACAGAAAUUAGAACUAGGGCAUGCAACCUGUCUGUAGAAGUUAAGAAUGGACCUUGGAGAACUUUUUGUUCUUCAGAAUGGCCAAUGUACAACAUUGGCUGGCCUCUGGAGGGUACACUUGACCUUACUGUGAUUUCUGCCAUUAAGAAUAUGGUUUUUCAAAGGGACCAGGACCUCACCCUGACCAAGGACCUUAUAUUUGUGUCUGGGAAGAUCUGGCACAAGAUCCUCCAUCCUGGUUAAAACCUUGGACCCAGAAAAGUAAGCCAGGCUCCCGAGUCCUGGCGCUCCACAACACGGAGAAAAAAACGAAAGCAGAAAUGGCGGAGUCUAAACUGCCAAAUAAGACUCAAGCCUCGGCUCCUCCUAAGAUAUAUCCCGAAAUUGAGGAGCCUCCAGAAUGGCCUAGUAUCCCA